GCUUUUUCAAACUCAAUCUUAAAAAUGAGACCCUCCUAUUUUUUCUUUCGAACCUCUUCCACCACUUUAUUUGCUAUGAAAACUGCAUCCAAAGUCUGCGUCCACAUCACAAAUGCACCUUGAGCUUUUGAAAUCGUGUCUUCCAUUACCGAUCUCAACUUGUAAGCCAAAGCUUUUGCAAUAAUUUUAUGGAGACUUGACACCAAGCUUAUAGGUCUGAAAUCCCCCACCUUAACUGCCUCAAACUUCUUUUGUAUGAGAUAAAUGUAAGUUUUAUUGGUAGCCGCAUUUAUUAACCAUGUUCUAUGAAAUUCCUUAAAUACCCUCAUUAAAUCAACCUUCAAAACAACGCAACAAUACUAAUACAACGCCAUUGAAAACCCAUCAGAGCCUGGAGAUUUAUCCUUUCCACAAUCGUAAAUGGCUCUCUUAACCUCCUCUUGUUCAAAUGGUCUCUCAAGCCAAACAACCUUCUCUUCGCUAAUCGGUACCCAUCUAACCGUCGCAACCUCAAUCUUCUUACCGCCCUUAAAAAAAUUAACAAUUUCGUCAUUGUGUCCUUUGAUAUAAG
rnacentral:lncRNA from 1 species